UGUCAAGGGAUGAGAAUCGAACCCACGACCUUCCGCUUACCGGGCAGAUGCCAUGACCACUAGGCUACCCUGGAC
rnacentral:tRNA from 1 species